rnacentral:rRNA from 1 species
AACCGGAUUAGAUACCCUGGUAGUCCACGCUGUAAACGAUGUCGAUUUGGAGGUUGUGCCCUUGAGGCGUGGCUUCCGGAGCUAACGCGUUAAAUCGACCGCCUGGGGAGUACGGCCGCAAGGUUAAAACUCAAAUGAAUUGACGGGGGCCCGCACAAGCGGUGGAGCAUGUGGUUUAAUUCGAUGCAACGCGAAGAACCUUACCUACUCUUGACAUCCAGAGAACUUUCCAGAGAUGGAUUGGUGCCUUCGGGAACUCUGAGACAGGUGCUGCAUGGCUGUCGUCAGCUCGUGUUGUGAAAUGUUGGGUUAAGUCCCGCAACGAGCACAACCCUUAUCCUUUGUUGCCAGCGGUUCGGCCGGGAACUCAAAGGAGACUGCCAGUGAUAAACUGGAGGAAGGUGGGGAUGACGUCAAGUCAUCAUGGCCCUUACGAGUAGGGCUACACACGUGCUACAAUGGCAUAUACAAAGAGAAGCGACCUCGCGAGAGCAAGCGGACCUCAUAAAGUAUGUCGUAGUCCGGAUUGGAGUCUGCAACUCGACUCCAUGAAGUCGGAAUCGCUAGUAAUCGUAGAUCAGAAUGCUACGGUGAAUACGUUCCCGGGCCUUGUACACACCGCCCGUCACACCAUGGGAGUGGGUUGCAAAAGAAGUAGGUAGCUUAACCUUCGGGAGGGCGCUUACCACUUUGUGAUUCAUGACUGGGGU